AGAAGGGCUAAAGCAGGAGGUCUGCGCGCCCCAGCCCACGUGACGGGGCGGCACGCAGAAAAGCUCGUGCCCUCACGAGGCUGCCCGUGCAGCGUGACUGGAACGUGGUGAGCACGAGAUCCCGCACGCCCCAGCCUCGCGACAAUUACCAGCAGUGGGACGGGCCGUUGAGCUCGCGCCUGCGCACAACGUGCCUCGUGCCUUCCCGCGUUUUUCUGGCUUCUUCCACCGCCGCAAGGGAAGCAGCCCGCGCCUCUCCUGGAGGUGGGGUGACCGCAGAACCCCCGAGGGACCGGAGGCAGUGAUCUUUUCCUCAUUCCUGCCCAACCAGACGUCGCUGUUCCCGGCUCAAACACAGGACCAGCAUGCCUACCCUGCGGUCCUCCUCUUCCCCAAGCAGUGUGUCCUCGCCGCUGCGGAGAGCAGCAGGAGGUGGACAGAGGGGCUUGUCUGCAUCCUCUAGUUCUUCUGUCAGUGUGCCCUAUGGUAACAGGGACUCGGGCCAGACCUCACAGGGGGAUAGUGAUUCUUUGUCAGCUGAUGAAGGCAGUGACUUUGAAGAUAGCCUGAGACGCAGCGUGAGGAAGAGAGCAGCAAGACGACCCCUCAAAACAACCCCAGUGGCAAAACAUCCAAAGAAGGGGUCCCGAAUGAUACGUGGUCAUGGCCAGAAAGACUCAGAGGUACCAGCCAGUCAUCUCUUCGAUGCUGUGAAAGCUGCCAAAAGUGACAUGCAGUCUUUGGUGGACGAAUGGCUGGAUAGCUACAAGCAAGACCAGGAUGCAGGAUUCCUGGAGCUCAUUAACUUUUUCAUCCGAUCUUGUGGCUGUAAAGGCAAUGUGACCCCCGAGAUGUUCAAGAAGAUGUCCAACUCCGAGAUCAUCCGGCACCUGACAGAACAGUUUAACGAGGACUCAGGAGACUAUCCGCUGACAGCACCAGGUCCAUCCUGGAAGAAGUUCCAGGGCAGCUUCUGUGAAUUUGUGAAGACCUUGGUCUUUCAGUGCCAGUAUAGCCUUCUCUAUGACGGCUUCCCAAUGGACAACCUCAUCUCCCUGCUCACUGGACUGUCAGACUCCCAGGUCCGUGCCUUCCGUCACACCAGCACCCUGGCAGCCAUGAAGCUAAUGACCUCCCUGGUAAGAGUUGCCCUUCAGCUGAGUCUGCACAAAGAUAAUAAUCAGCGACAGUAUGAGGCUGAACGAAAUAAGGGGCCAGGACAGAGAGCACCUGAGCGGCUGGAGAGCCUGCUGGAGAAACGCAAAGAACUCCAAGAGCAUCAAGAGGAGAUUGAGGGGAUGAUGAAUGCUCUCUUCAGGGGUGUCUUUGUGCAUCGGUACAGGGAUGUCCUUCCUGAGAUCCGUGCGAUCUGCAUCGAGGAGAUUGGGUCUUGGAUGCAAAGCUACAGCACAUCUUUCCUCACGGACAGCUAUUUGAAAUAUAUUGGCUGGACCCUGCAUGAUAAGCAUCGAGAAGUCCGCCUGAAGUGCCUGAAGGCUCUGAAAGCGCUGUACAGCAGCCGCGACCUGACGGCCCGCCUGGAGCUCUUCACCAGCCGCUUCAAGGACCGGAUGGUUUCCAUGGUCAUGGACCGAGAGUAUGAUGUGGCAGUAGAGGCCGUCAAGUUACUAACAAUUAUCCUCAAGAACAUGGAAGGCGUGCUCACAGAUGCGGACUGUGAGGGCAUCUACCCUGUGGUGUAUGCCUCUCACCGGGCCCUGGCGUCUGCUGCGGGGGAGUUUCUGUACUGGAAGCUCUUCUACCCUGAGUGCGAGACUAGAGCCGAGGGUGGGAGACAGCGACGCCGAAGUCCGCGCGCCCAGAGGACUUUUUUCCACCUUCUGCUGUCCUUCUUUGUGGAGAGCGAGCUCCAUGACCACGCUGCCUACUUGGUAGACAGCCUGUGGGACUGUGCAGGGGCUCAGCUGAAGGACUGGGAGAGUCUGACAAGCCUGCUGCUGGAGAAGGACCAGAGUGCGUGCCGUGUGACCGCUGGAGGAGGGGGCCUGUCACCUCCUAACUUGGGCGACGUGCAGGAGAGCACGCUGAUAGAAAUCCUUGUGUCCAGCGUUCGGCAAGCUUCCGAGGGUCACCCGCCCGUGGGGCGGCUCACUGGGAGGAAGGGCUUAACCCCCAAAGAACGGAAGACCCAAGCCGACGACAAGGUGAAGCUCACCGAGCACCUCAUCCCCCUGCUCCCGCAGCUCCUGGCCAAGUUCUCGGCUGACGCGGAGAAGGUUGCCCCCCUGCUCCAGCUUCUCAACCACUUUGACCUCAACAUCUACUGUACCAGGCGCUUGGAGAAGCAUCUGGAGCUGUUCUUACAGCAACUCCAGGAAGUGGUGGUGAAGCACGCGGAGCCUGCGGUGCUCGAGGCAGGGGCUCAUGCCCUCUAUCUGCUCUGUAACCCCGAGUUCACCUUCUUCGGCCGGGUGGACUUUGCCCGCAGCCAGCUGGUGGACCUGCUGACUGACCGCUUCCAGCAGGAACUUGAAGAGCUCCUGCAGUCACCCUUCCUAGACGAGGACGAGGUGUACAGCCUGGCAGCCACUCUGAAGCGCCUCUCUGCCUUCUACAACGCCCAUGACCUGAGUCGCUGGGAGCUCUAUGAGCCGUGCUACCGGCUCCUCCGGAAGGCCGUGGACACAGGAGAGGUUCCUCACCAGGUGAUCCUGCCAGCCUUGACUCUUGUCUAUUUUUCCAUUCUCUGGACACUAACCCACCUUUCUGAAUCAGAUGCCUCCCAGAAGCAGCUGCUGAGUUUGAAGGGGAGGGUGGUGGCCUUCUGUGAACUCUGCCAGAGCUGCCUCUCAGAUGUGGAUUCUGACAUCCAGGAGCAGGCUUUUGUCCUACUAAGUGAUCUACUUCUCGUCUUCAGCCCUCAGAUGAUCUUAGGGGGUCGCGAUUUCCUUAGACCCCUUGUCUUUUUUCCUGAAGCCACUCUCCAGUCGGAGCUAGCCAGCUUUCUCAUGGACCACGUCUUCAUCCAGCCCGGAGAACUGGGCAGCGGCCAUUCCCAGGAGGAUCAUGUGCACAUAGAGCAGCUGCACCAGCGGCGCCGCCUCCUGGCCGGGUUCUGCAAGCUCUUGCUCUAUGGGGUCCUGGAGAUGGAUGCGGCCUCGGAUGUCUUCAAACACUACAACAAGUUCUACAAUGACUAUGGUGACAUUAUCAAGGAAACAUUAACCAGAGCAAGGCAGAUUGACCGCAGUCAUUGUUCCCGAAUCCUGCUGCUGAGCCUCAAGCAGUUGUACACGGAACUGCUGCAGGAGCAGGGGCCCCAGGGCCUGAAUGAGCUUCCGGCCUUCAGUGAGAUGCGUGACCUCGCCCGAAGGUUUGCCUUGAGCUUUGGACCCCAGCAGCUACAGAACCGUGACCUGGUGGUCGCGCUACACAAGGAAGGCAUCAGAUUCUCCUUGUCUGAGCCUCCUCCGGCUGGCUCCUCCGGUCAGCCCCCAAACCUGGCAUUCCUGGAGCUCCUCUCCGAGUUUUCCCCCCGACUCUUCCAUCAGGACAAGCAGCUGCUACUGUCCUACCUGGGAAAGAGUCUGCAGCGUGUGUCCCAGUCCCUUGACUGUCCGUGGGGGCCCGUCACCACCUACUGCCACUCCCUCAGCCCUGUGGAGAGCACGGCAGAGGCCAGCCCUCAGGGCUACCCCCGCUCCAAGAAGAGGCGCACCGAAGGCCCCCCCAGGCGGCAGAGGGAGGAUGUCCGUCCGUCCCAGGAAGAGAGCCUCCAGCUGACCAGCAUCCCCCCGUCACCCACCCUCACCUCCACAGCCGUGAAGAGGGGGCAGCCUCGGAGGGCGUUGGGAGAGGCAGAGGAAGAGGGCAGCUCAGAACCGGAGCACAGCGCCCAGGGCAGCCAGCCCCUCUUGGGCAACCAGAGGCCAAGGUUCUCGAGUCCACGGCGUUUCCGGACUCUGCUCCACCCUCCAGGUCCCGGCUUGGGCAGCCGGCUGACCCGACUCAGCCUGAUGGAAGAGGACGAGGACGAGCUGGAAGCUCACAGCGAGCUCAGCGAAGGAUGGCAAGACGCGGACAAGAUCCCUCAGGGCAAAUGCCAGCCUGCGGUUCCCGACUGAACGAAUGUAAGGGACUCGCCUCCUGCCCACUGUCCCCUUCUACCCCCUCCCCCCGUGGGUGCAGGGACCCACCGCGGUUCUUGUUUGCGGUGGGACCGAAGGGCCCGUCUGACUUGCACCCCCUCCCCCCAGCACUCCUCCCCCAGCGAGCACGGGCUGGACCUCUUAGAUUCCACAGAGCUGAACCUUGAGGAUUUCUGACAGGAUCCUGGGCCCCUCCCCACCUCCACUCCCCACCUCACCUUGGAAAAGGCCCACGGGAGAACACAGCAGAAGGAGCCGUUACUUCCAGGCCCCGCCCCGGUCCUUGGGAAGGAGAGGUGGGCUGCGCCUUCCUCACCUAACCCUUUCCUCUGAUGACGCUGCCAUCGAGAAGCCUUGGGCGUCCUGUCCCUCCUAACGCUCCCUGGCUCUGUCCCUGUGUUGAGGACGGGGCCUUUUUCUGCUGUGUCGGGGGAGGGGGGGCUUCACCUCAGUCCUGGAGAGGCUCUGCCUCCCUGUGCUGAGCGGAAAGAGCCCAGUAGUUUUCUGUAUUUUUGGAACAGCUUUCCCGGCCGCCUUUGUGCCCCAGUGACUACCUCAAUAAACCUGUUUCAAGCAGCUGGU